CUCCCGCAAGCCGGUGGCGCGGAACCCGACCUGGCUCAGCGCCGGGCAAUCCCCGAGCGCGGGCGGCAGCCGUUCGAACCGGUUGCCGGAGC
rnacentral:tRNA from 1 species